UACGGGGGGAGCAAGCGUUGUUCGGAUUUACUGGGCGUAAAGGGCGCGUAGGCGGUCAGCACAAGUCAGUUGUGAAAUCUCCGGGCUUAACUCGGAAAGGUCAACUGAUACUGUGCGACUAGAGUGCGGAAGGGGCAACUGGAAUUCUCGGUGUAGCGGUGAAAUGCGUAGAUAUCGAGAGGAACACCGAUGGCGAAGGCAAUCCCCUGGACCUGUACUGACGCUCAUGCACGAAAGCGUGGGGAGCAAACAGG
rnacentral:rRNA from 1 species